CCUACGGGGGGCGGCAGUAGGGGAUCUUGCUUAAUGGGCGCAAGCCUGAAGCAGCAACGCCGCGUGUGCGAUGACGGCCUUCGGGUUGUAAAGCACUUUUGGUCGGGAAGAGGAAGGACGGUACCGGCCGAAUAAGCCUCGGCUAACUACGUGCCAGCAGCCCCGGUC
rnacentral:rRNA from 1 species